CAAUCAUCUUCUUUACCUGAUAUAUUUUUCAAUGCUGAUGAUAGUCGGUUCUCCAGGAGGUGCUGCAGGACUAGGCGGACGUGUUGGACAUAACACGAAAAGAAGCCAGCACCCACAGAAGACGAGGAGGGAUAUUGCCAGCUGUCCAAGAGUUCUUAAUAAAACUCUCAUCGGCGCCAGGGAUUGGAGCUGAUGGGACUGACCUUGAGAAGAGACGAUGGCGUGGAGCUGGGUGCGAGGACAAGGAGACAGGGGAAUAGAGGUUUGCCGAUAUACUGGUCUGGUCCCAUAUGCGUCAGCAGACCUCAGCUGCUGGCUUCUAUUUCGGACGUUGUGGGAGUUCUAUGGAAGUCUAUAGGAUUACUGUGCACGUUGGAAAGUGACGAAAAAAGGGCGCCUGGCGAGUUUAACAAGUGACGCCAAAGGGUCUUGACCAAGCAUCAAUAUGUGACGACUUGGGAUUGAGAAUGUGUUGCUCCAACAUGUCCACCCCACCCAAGUCACCCACCUUUAGCUUCAAACACAUGCACUCUCCUUACAGACACUGUCUCACACUUCCAAGGACAAUAUGUCAGGGACUUGUAAGCCUUGGACUGUACAACUGGAGGCUAACAACUUUAAAAGGAAAAAAAUUACUGCUAAAGUAAAAAAGUCUAAUAUUGUAUUAUUUUGUGCACUAGCUGUAUUUGAGGAAAUCUGAGACCAAACUUGAUUUAAGGGAGAAAUCUGCUGUUUACUUAGUCAUCAUAUGUAUGUAUUUAUGUCAGCAUGUAAAAACAUGGGAAAGCCACUUCUUGUAGUCUAGGCCUUAGAGCAGUGGUCAGCAAUAGGCGGCCCAUGUGCCAAAGUUGGCCCACCAGCAAUAAUAUCUGGCCUAUGGCUUUGAUAGUGGCCAAAAAAAAACAAAGAUUGCGGCUGUUGCUGGUUUCAGAUCGGAGUCAUGACAGCAAAAAAUUACUCACAUAAUCACUUCCUUUUAAGUGAUUGUGCCUAUAUAAUAAUUGUUUAUUUUGGCAACUUUAACACAUUGUUUUUGCAGCAGUAAUUUAUGUCAUGUUUAAUUGAAAGCUUUUACUUUGAAAAGUUCUGAAAGAAAUUCAAAAGAGUCUCUAGCUUGCUUGAUACACCUCUUAAAAAGCCAUCAGAAAACAGGAGAUUGGAUUCCCCUGAAUGAGAAACGCAGGAAUUUCCUCUGCCUACAAAUACUGGGGAAAUGAAAAUAAGCCCCAUAGGCUGAUGUGGACCUAUCGCCAGGACGCACACGCACUCCUGGACAUGCUUAAUUGUACUUGAUGUAAAUCAAUCUCUUCUAAUCAAUUUGUUGAAAAGGUAGGAAAACAAUGUUUGCAGCAAGUGGGGAUCACAACCCUUCUAAUGCGAGUCCUGUGCACUACUGACUGAGCUGACAAGGCACACAGUAAAUAAUGGAUCAUAAAUGAUCAAUUGACUAUAUUCUGGCCUGCCAUCUAUUGACUUGAAAAAAAUCUGGCUUGAUGCCAGACUUAUAGGCUGAACCCUGCCUUAGAGUUUAUAGGUUUAGAAAGUUUUUAACAGUGAUAGUACCACUUAAAGAGUAGAAUUCAGGCAUAUUUAGAUCAUGAUAUACAGUCACGUUGUGUUUUGUUGUCACCCGAGAUUAUUCUUUUCUUUACAUAAGUUGGUGAAGACCCCACAACUGUUUUUUAGGGCCUGAUAAAUAAAAUAAUGACUUGAAAAAGGGUGUACUUUCCAUAUGUCAGGGAUUCCAAAGCCUCAUUUUGUACCACUGGAGGCUUUCAACUUUAAAAGAAAAUAAUUGGUAUUCAAAAGUCCAAUUUAGUAUUUAGCUGUUUUUGAGGGAAUUAGAGACAAAACUUAAGAAAUCCGCUGUUUACUUUGCCAUCGGAUUGUUUACUUGGAGGCUAACUGUAAUAUGUGAUGGUAACUGAAUGUUUCCAAAAUGAUGUGCAGUCUUUAUCUUUACUUUCCUCCAGUAUAGCCAUGUUGCAGCAUCAACACAUUGUGAGGGAUGUGCUUGGACAGAUUGUUGAUGUUACAAGGAAGAGAACACAAUCGUGCUGGCCAUUUGUAUUCAUUUGAUGUUAGAAAAUGUUGUUAGAAGUAGCUGUGGAUAAUAUGUGAAGUGACAGAGGGAAUAUCCACUUGUUUUUUUGUGAGGAGUUCAUGAAUAAAUUGAUUGACUAAUAUAAUGAAAAGCUUGGUUGCCCAUCAGACUGAUGACUCAGAUUGUUAAAUUGGUGUUCUGGAAAAGACUGAACAAUGUGCUCACAGUACCCCCUUU